rfam:Drosophila willistoni strain TSC#14030-0811.24 scf2_1100000004943 genomic scaffold, whole genome shotgun sequence.
GAACAAUAAAAAUUGAAAAUUAUUUAGCCGACAAGUCGACAGCGGCAUCGGCAUCGGCAUCGCUGUUCUGAAAAUCUCCAGUGUUUACAUUGCGAAAACAAUUGAGAUCAUAACAAUAAAAUCAAAUUCGAAAUUUGUGGGAUUGCGGGAGCGGGUG